AUUGAACGCUGGCGGCAGGCCUAACACAUGCAAGUCGAACGCGUGGCGGACGGGUGAGUAAUGUCUGGGAAACUGCCUGAUGGAGGGGGAUAACUACUGGAAACGGUAGCUAAUACCGCAUACCAUCAGAUGUGCCCAGAUGGGAUUAGCUUGUUGGUGGGGUAACGGCUAACCAAGGCGACGAUCCCUAGCUGGUCUGAGAGGAUGACCAGCCCAACUGGAACUGAUACACGGUCCAGACUGCGAUGGGAGGCAGCAGUGGGGAAUAUUGCACAAUGGGCGCAAGCCUGAUGCAGCCAGGCCGCAUGUAUGAAGAAGGCCUUCGGGUUGUAAAGUACUUUCAGCGGGGAGGCGUUACCCGCAGAAGAAGCACCGGCUAACUCCGUGCCAGCGGCCGCGGUAAUAC
rnacentral:rRNA from 1 species